rnacentral:rRNA from 1 species
AUUGAACGCUGGCGGCAGGCCUAACACAUGCAAGUCGAGCGGAUGAAGGGAGCUUGCUCCUGGAUUCAGCGGCGGACGGGUGAGUAAUGCUUAGGAAUCUGCCUGGUAGUGGGGGAUAACGUCCGGAAACGGGCGCUAAUACCGCAUACGUCCUGAGGGAGAAAGUGGGGGAUCUUCGGACCUCACGCUAUCAGAUGAGCCUAGGUCGGAUUAGCUAGUUGGUGGGGUAAAGGCCUACCAAGGCGACGAUCCGUAACUGGUCUGAGAGGAUGAUCAGUCACACUGGAACUGAGACACGGUCCAGACUCCUACGGGAGGCAGCAGUGGGGAAUAUUGGAUAAUGGGCGAAAGCCUGAUCCAGCCAUGCCGCGUGUGUGAAGAAGGUCUUCGGAUUGUAAAGCACUUUAAGUUGGGAGGAAGGGCAGUAAGUUAAUACCUUGCUGUUUUGACGUUACCAACAGAAUAAGCACCGGCUAACUUCGUG